rnacentral:rRNA from 1 species
UACGGAGGGGGCGAGCGUUGUCCGAAUUUAUUGGGCGUAAAGCGCGUGUAGGCGGACCGCCAAGCCUGGGGUGAAAGGUUGGGGCUCAACCCCAAGAGUGCCCUGGGGACUGGUUGUCUGGAGGCAGGCAGAGUAGUGUGGAAUUCCUGGUGUAGCGGUGGAAUGCGUAGAUAUCAGGAAGAACACCCGUGGCGAAGGCGGCACUCUGGGCCUGUACUGACGCUGAGACGCGAAAGCGUGGGGAGCGAACGGG